UGACCCGGGCCCAAGUAGCAUAAUCAAUUGUCUUUUAAUUGAAGGCUUGUAUGAAUGGUUGGAUAAGAUAUCAGCUAUUUUUAUUUUAUUAUUUGAAUUUUAAUUUUUAGUAAAAAUGCUAAAAUAAAAAAAUUAGACGAGAAGACCCUAUAAAUCUUUAUUUUUAUUUUUAAAUAUUUAUAUAAGAAAUGUUAUUUAUUUAAAUAAAAAUUUAAUUGGGGUGAUUAUAAAAUUUUAAAAACUUUUAUUAAUAGUAUUUUAAUGUUAGUUAUUUAAAUUGAUCCAUUUUUUAUGAUUAUAAAAUUAAGUUACUUUAGGGAUAACAGCGUAAUUAUUUUAAAAAGUUCUUAUUAAUAAAAUAGAUUGCGACCUCGAUGUUGAAUUAAGAUAAAAAUUAAGUGCAAAAGU
rnacentral:rRNA from 1 species